GCUCUUCACGCCAUAGGCGAGCUUCAUAAUGAUUAUAUACGGCCACCAUCAUUGGAGACCCCCAAAAAAAUUGCAGGAAAUCAUCGGUUUGACCCAUAUUUUAAGGAUUGUAUUGGAGCUACCGAUGGUACACAUGUGCGAGCAGGUGUUACCAAAGAUGUGGAGCAUUCUUUUCGUGGUAGGAAGGCCUUUACAACCCAAAAUGUGAUGGCAGUGGUAGAUUUUGAUCUCCGCUUCACGUAUGUGUUGGCUAGUUGGGGAGGGUCAGCAAAUGAUGCAACCAUUUUAGCUGAUGUGUUAAUGCGUGAGAGAGGCUUACAAGUACCACCAAGAAAGUUCUACCUAGUUGAUGCCGGUUAUGGAGCCAAGCCCGGGUUCUUACCACCUUUUCGUGGUGUGAGGUACCAUUUGAAUGAGUGGGGCAACAAUCCAGUCCAAAAUGAUAAGGAGCUAUUAAACCUUAGGCACUCUUCACUAUGGGUGACGGUAGAGAGGGCUUUUGGAUCUCUCAAGAGGCAUUUCAAAAUUUUAGAUGAUGCCAAACCAUUCUUUACUUUCCCGACACAAGUUGACAUUGUUAUAGCUUGUUGUGUCCUUCACAAUUAUGCACUAUCACAAGGGAUUAAUGAAUUUAUUAUACCAGAAAUGACAUGGACCACUCAACCAAUUCGAACAUCAAGGCAACAAGCAAGUGACACUGGGGUCGUGGUACACCGUAGGCUACAAAUGGCAGCCCAAAUGUGGGAAGAUAGACAACUCAUGUAUGCUAAU
rnacentral:rRNA from 1 species